AUUGAACGCUGGCGGCAGGCCUAACACAUGCAAGUCGAGCGAUAGAGAGAAGCUUGCUUCUCUUGAGAGCGGCGGACGGGUGAGUAAUGCCUAGGAAUCUGCCUGGUAGUGGGGGAUAACGUUCGGAAACGGACGCUAAUACCGCAUACGUCCUACGGGAGAAAGCAGGGGACCUUCGGGCCUUGCGCUAUCAGAUGAGCCUAGGUCGGAUUAGCUAGUUGGUGAGGUAAUGGCUCACCAAGGCGACGAUCCGUAACUGGGCUGAGAGGAUGAUCAGUCACGCUGGAACUGAGACACGGUCCAGACUCCUACGGGAUGCAGCAGUGGGGAACAUUGAACAAUGGGCGAAAGCCUGAUCCAGCCAUGCCGCGUUUGUGAAGAAGGUCUUCGGAUUGUAAAGCACUUUAAGUUGGGAGGAAGGGUUGUAGAUUAAUACUCUGCAAUUUUGACGUUACCGACAGAAUAAGCACCGGCUAACUCUGUGCCAGCAGCCGCCGUAA
rnacentral:rRNA from 1 species